UCACAUGGUACGUGUACACACAAACAUC
rnacentral:piRNA from 1 species